rnacentral:rRNA from 1 species
AUGCAUACGGGAGAGCUUCGACCACCCGACAGACACCCUCCUCCCGUCCAUGAAGUUCCUGAUGAGCUCCAAGACGCGGGCCGUCGGUCGUCUCGUCGCAUGGAAGGGCCCGGACGACCCGUCCUCCGGCGAUUUCUCCUUCAGCAGCGACCCCAGCUCGCCGACACGAGAAACUGCUCGUGUACUGCAUAUGCUUACGCUAACUUGAGCAAUGACGGUGCUAUGGCUGAUCCGUCAAGGUGCUUGAUCUGGACUGGUGAGCUUGUCGACAUGGGGAAGCCCAUCAACUACAGCGAGAACCUGUACCUCCGGCUUGCCCACUCUCCUGGAAAACAAAGAAAGGAAGAAAUCCAGAGGAGACGGGUGCUAGGAUACUUUAGCUCUUCCAAUGAAUUUGGAGAAGAAAAUAUAGAAUUCCCAUUUGUUAGUUUUGACAAGAUCGGCGCCGCAACAGAUAAUUUCUGCGAUUCCAAGCAAAUCGGAAGAGGAGGUUUUGGCAAAUUUUACAAGGGAAUGCUAGAAGGCGGCAAGGAAGUUGCUAUCAAAAGGCUCAGUGAGGGUUCGUGGCAAGGUGUAGAGGAGUUUAAAAAUGAAUUAGUUCUAUUUGCAAAACUGCAGCACAGAAAUCUAGUUAGACUUCUUGGUUGUUGUAUUCAUGGUGAUGAGAGGUUACUGAUCUAUGGAUACUUACCUAACAAAAGUUUAGAUGCCUCCCUUUUUGAUGCUUCAAGGAAAUAUGUGCUUGAUUGGUUCACACGGUUCAAAAUAAUCAAAGGAGUAGCAAGAGGACUUCUUUAUCUCCACCAAGACUCAAGAUUGAAAAUAAUCCAUAGAGAUCUCAAAGCAAGCAACAUCUUGCUGGAUGUGGAAAUGAAUGCUAAAAUAUCGGAUUUUGGUAUGGCAAGGAUAUUUGAUGGAAAUCAGCAACAUGCAAACACUACCCGGGUUGUUGGGACAUAUGGUUACACGUCGCCGGAAUAUGUGAUGGACGGUGUCUUUUCUGUAAAAUCGGAUAUUUAUAGCUUUGGUGUUCUUCUCUUGGAGAUUGUAAGUGGAUUGAAGAUCAGCUCAUCACAACUUGAAGUGCACUCUUCUAGUCUUACAACUUACGCAUGGAGUUUAUGGAAAGAUGGAAAAGCAAUAGAAUUGGUGGACCCUUGUCUUAUUGAGAGUUGUCCACUUCAUGAAGUUGUACGGUGUAUUCAUGUAGGACUACUGUGUAUUCAAAAUCUU